UGACGGCGAGUAACGGUCGUAAGUCGGCGAUUCUGGUGUGGAAGUCGUCUAGUUAGGGCUAACUCGCCAAGUUUCUAGGGGCAAGAUGUGCAGUCUACCAUACUGCCGAUCUUGGCCUUAACUCGGCGACUUAUCCUUUAUGUUGGCGACUUGGUAGUCCAAUCAGGCGACUUACGGGCUAACUCGGCGAUCUGGACGAUGAACGUGUUCCGCACCGUGGGAGCUCUCUGGGGGUCCGGCCAAAGCGACGGAACCCUAGUCCUUGUUGAAAGGCGUUACUGGGAGUGACUGCCGUAAUCAGGCAUGUCUCACCAGAUGCAUUUUAUAUCACAUUUAGUUUUCAUAUAUCUGGAAAUUGGGCAUUUAUCUUUAAUAUUUGUCAAUCAUUUAAUAUAUAUUUUACAUUUGACUCAUUUUUUAUUGUUGAGCAUUUUACAGCUCUGCGUUAAUUGCAGUUCCUUGCCACAUAUUCAAGUUUUGGGUUUUCAUAGGAAUUCUUUACCAGGUACACAACAACCCAUUUAGCCACUAUAUAUUUAUAUGCAUUAUAACUUCCUGUCCGGCGAGCAGCGGCGAUACUUCCUAUCUGGCGAGCAGCGGGUGAUACCUCCAGUCCAUUCCGGUAACUUCCAGGUAAGAGUUCCUUCACCGUUUAUUUCGUCUUAAUCUGUU
rnacentral:lncRNA from 1 species